rnacentral:misc_RNA from 1 species
GAUGAAGAACGUAGUGAAAUGCGAUAAGUAGUGUGAAUUGCAGAAUUCAGUGAAUCAUCGAAUCUUUGAACGCACAUUGCGCCCCAUGGUAUUCCGUGGGGCAUGCCUGUUCGAGCGUCAUUUACCCCCUCAAGCUCCGCUUGGUGUUGGGCGUCUGUCCCGCUUCGCGCGCGGACUCGCCCCAAAGGUAUUGGCAGCGGUCGUGCCAGCUUCUCGCGCAGCACAUUGCGCUUCUCGAGGCACCGGUGGGCCCGCGUCCAUCAAGCUCACCCCCCCAGUUUGACCUCGGAUCAGGUAGGGAUACCCGCUGAACUUAAGCAUAUCAAUAACGGAGGA